rnacentral:rRNA from 1 species
GUCCUAGCCGUAAACGGUGCGUGUUUGCUGUAAAAGGAAUCGACCCCUUUUGUGGCGGAGCCAACGCGUUAAACACGCCGCCUGGGAAGUACGGUCGCAAGAUUAAAACUCAAAGAAAUUGACGGGGGCCUGCACAAGCGGUGGAGUAUGUGGCUCAAUUCGAUGCAACGCGAAGAACCUUACCUGGCCUUGACAUGUACGUAGUAGAAGGGUGAAAGCCUGACGAGAUAGCAAUAUCAGCGUACACAGGUGCUGCAUGGCUGUCGU